AACUCGAGAAGAACCGGACUGCAAGCUCUUCAGAGUUAACAGAUAAGCUAACAGAUGCCAAAACAAAAGAUAUUAAAAAAGUCUGUGCAAUAGUCUAGAUGGGACUGAACACGGAAUACUCUACUCACUGCAGCAUCGUGUCUGUCCACGAAACGUGCUUGACGCAGAGAAACACUGCUGUCACCGCGCGCAGAGAAACAGUGAAUCGAUCCAGAUGUUGCUCUAGAGAUGCUGAUGAGAUGAGGAGCUCAGCAUGGAUAAAAAACUGUGCUGUGUUUACGAUGCUUGUGGUGUGCAGCUGGGCUUUAUCGAUCCGAGAGGCUGCUCUUCUUCUCGCCCUCUGGCGGAGGGGAUUCCGCUACGUGCAGACUCUCACACACUCUUCCUAACUCAUGGAACCAGGAGGAAUUAAACUGCGCAUGCGCCUGGUACAGUUCCUACUUCACAUUCCAUAAGGGCCAUCCUUAUGAUGUGGUACUUGAUACAGCUGGGGGUGUAAAAGUUUUACAGAGUUUGGAUGCACAUUUAUUUAGUUUGUACUAAUAAUAGUUUGUACUGACAUUGUAUCUACUAAAAUUAUCCAACACAUAGAUUUAAUAAUAAUAAUACUACUUAUGUAGAAUCCAUUAUGCAUCCUUCAUUAAAGAAAUAGUUCACCCCAAGAUCUUAUGGAUAGAGAACUCAGCUUGUGGAUUACUUACAUUAAUUGAAUGUGAAUUAUUGUGGUGUUUUUAUAUCUCUUUCUGACAGCACCCAUUCACUGCAGAGGAUCAAUGAUCUAAUGCUAAAUUCCCCCAACAUAUUGGAUGGCCUGAAGGGGAGUACAUUUUCUGAAAAUUAUUUCUAGGUAAACCAUGCCAUUAUGUGUCAAUAAAGGUUGCAUAUUUUAUGCUCUAAUUUCACUUUUAGGUAUUACUCAUUUUAUCUUUUGUAUUUCAUAGCUCUGUGUUGCAUAAUGAAUAUGCAGUGAAAAAAAAUGGAAAGCCUUUUUUUAUUUAAUUAUUUUUUUACUUCCAGAUGGAUUUUUUUUUCUGUGCAAAAAAAGGAUUGGAUUUUUCUUUCUCUUUCUCCUCUAACACGGUGUCUUUCUCUGUUGCUUCCUCUCAUUUUGAUUUCUAACAACUGUCUGAGAUUUAUUGUGAGUUAAAUAAAGUGGCAGCUGCUAUCUUUAAAGUUA